CGGAGUGUAGCGCAGCCUGGUUAGCGCACCUGUCUGGGGGACAGGGGGUCGUGGGUUCAAAUCCCGCCACUCCGACCA
rnacentral:tRNA from 2 species